rnacentral:rRNA from 1 species
AGUCGAGCGAACAGACGAGGAGCUUGCUCCUCUGACGUUAGCGGCGGACGGGUGAGUAACACGUGGAUAACCUACCUAUAAGACUGGGAUAACUUCGGGAAACCGGAGCUAAUACCGGAUAAUAUAUUGAACCGCAUGGUUCAAUAGUGAAAGACGGUUUUGCUGUCACUUAUAGAUGGAUCCGCGCCGCAUUAGCUAGUUGGUAAGGUAACGGCUUACCAAGGCGACGAUGCGUAGCCGACCUGAGAGGGUGAUCGGCCACACUGGAACUGAGACACGGUCCAGACUCCUACGGGAGGCAGCAGUAGGGAAUCUUCCGCAAUGGGCGAAAGCCUGACGGAGCAACGCCGCGUGAGUGAUGAAGGUCUUCGGAUCGUAAAACUCUGUUAUUAGGGAAGAACAAAUGUGUAAGUAACUAUGCACGUCUUGACGGUACCUAAUCAGAAAGCCACGGCUAACUACGUGCCAGCAGCCGCGGUAAUACGUAGGUGGCAAGCGUUAUCCGGAAUUAUUGGGCGUAAAGCGCGCGUAGGCGGUUUUUUAAGUCUGAUGUGAAAGCCCACGGCUCAACCGUGGAGGGUCAUUGGAAACUGGAAAACUUGAGUGCAGAAGAGGAAAGUGGAAUUCCAUGUGUAGCGGUGAAAUGCGCAGAGAUAUGGAGGAACACCAGUGGCGAAGGCGACUUUCUGGUCUGUAACUGAC